GAUGAAGAACGUAGCGAAAUGCGAUAAGUAAUGUGAAUUGCAGAAUUCAGUGAAUCAUCGAAUCUUUGAACGCUCAUUGCGCCCGCCAGUAUUCUGGCGGGCAUGCCUGUUCGAGCGUCAUUACAACCCUCAGGCCCCCGGGCCUGGCGUUGGGGAUCGGCGGAAGCCCCCUGUGGGCACACGCCGUCCCUCAAAUACAGUGGCGGUCCCGCCGCAGCUUCCAUUGCGUAGUAGCUAACACCUCGCAACUGGAGAGCGGCGCGGCCAUGCCGUAAAACACCCAACUUCUGAAUGUUGACCUCGAAUCAGGUAGGAAUACCCGCUGAACUUAAGCAUAUCAAUAAGCGGAGGA
rnacentral:misc_RNA from 1 species